rnacentral:rRNA from 1 species
ACUCCUACGGGAGGCAGCAGUAGGGAAUCUUCCACAAUGGGCGCAAGCCUGAUGGAGCAACACCGCGUGAGUGAAGAAGGGUUUCGGCUCGUAAAGCUCUGUUGUUAAAGAAGAACACGUAUGAGAGUAACUGUUCAUACGUUGACGGUAUUUAACCAGCAAGUCACGGCUAACUACGUGCCAGCAGCCGCGGGUAAUACGUAGGUGGCAAGCGUUAUCCGGAUUUAUUGGGGCGUAAAGAGAGUGCAGGCGGUUUUCUAAGUCUGAUGUGAAAGCCUUCGGCUUAACCGGAGAAGUGCAUCGGAAACUGGAUAACUUGAGUGCAGAAGAGGGUAGUGGAACUCCAUGUGUAGCGGUGGAAUGCGUAGAUAUAUGGAAGAACACCAGUGGCGAAGGCGGCUACCUGGUCUGCAACUGACGCUGAGACUCGAAAGCAUGGGUAGCGAACAGGAUUAGAUACCCUGGUAGGAUAGCG